rnacentral:piRNA from 1 species
AGGAAUAUAGAGUCCCCUCUUCCCAG